rnacentral:rRNA from 1 species
UAAGACGAACCGUGCUAACGUUGUUCGGAAUCACUGGGCUUAAAGGGCGCGUAGGCGGGCCGCCAAGUCUGGGGUGAAAGCCCACGGCUCAACCGUGGAAGUGCCCCGGAUACUGGCGGCCUCGAGGGAGGUAGGGGCGUGCGGAACUUCCGGUGGAGCGGUGAAAUGCGUAGAGAUCGGAAGGAACGCCGGUGGCGAAAGCGGCACGCUGGACCUCUUCUGACGCUGAGGCGCGAAAGCCAGGGGAGCAAACGGGAUUAGAUACCCCGGUAGUCCUGGCCCUAAACGAUGGGCACUAGGUAGUGGACUGACAUGGGUUCACUGCCGAAGCAAAAGUGUUAAGUGCCCCGCCUGGGGAGUAUGGUCGCAAGGCUG